rnacentral:rRNA from 1 species
UACGAAGGGGCUAGCGUUGCUCGGAAUCACUGGGCGUAAAGCGCACGUAGGACGGACUCUUAAGUCGGUGGUGAAAUCCUGGAGCUCAACUCCAGAACUGCCUCCGAUACUGGGAGCCUUCGAGUCCGGAGAGGUGAGUGGAACUGCGAGUGUAGAGGUGAAAGUUCGUAGAUAUUGCGAAGAACACCAGUGGCGAAGGCGGCUCACUGGCC